rnacentral:rRNA from 1 species
GACGAACGCUGGCGGCGUGCCUAACACAUGCAAGUCGAGCGGAGAUGUACUGAAGAUUUAUCGGAUGUACAUCUUAGCGGCGGACGGGUGAGUAACGCGUGGGCAACCUGCCUUUCACUGGGGGAUAACACAGGGAAACCUGUGCUAAUACCGCAUGACAUCACGUAGGGCAUCCUAUGUGAUCAAAGGAGAGAUCCGGUGGAAGAUGGGCCCGCGUCCAAUUAGCUGGUUGGUGAGGUAAAGGCUCACCAAGGCGACGAUUGGUAGCCGAACUGAGAGGUUGAUCGGCCACAUUGGGACUGAGACACGGCCCAGACUCCUACGGGAGGCAGCAGUGGGGAAUAUUGCGCAAUGGGGGGAACCCUGACGCAGCAACGCCGCGUGAAGGAAGAAGAUCUUCGGAUUGUAAACUUCUUUGAUGAGGGACGAAUAAAGUGACGGUACCUCAAAAACAAGCCACGGCUAACUACGUG